rnacentral:snoRNA from 1 species
AUGCAUCUCUGACAGACCUGGGGCAGUUACUGUUUGGUGCUUAGGUUUCCACUAUAGACACAAGAAAAAGACGGUCCUUGCGCUUUCUGUCUGUCUGGUGGCAGCCAAGAUUGAAUGGGGAAAUACAGGA